AUGAAUCACAAAUGGAUUCCAGAUGAAUAACAACAACAAUAAAAACAUUUACAAAUUAAUGACUUGAGAGUCAAAUAAUUGGUGAUUAGUGUGAUUGAUAAUUAGUGUGAUUUGUUUUCCCUGAUCUCCUGGCUUGAACUCAGAGCUUGAGCAUUGUAACUAACCGAGUUUUUGCUCAAGGUUGGUGUUCUACCACUUGAACCACAGC